ACCUGGUUGAUCCUGCCAGUAGUCAUAUGCUUGUCUCAAAGAUUAAGCCAUGCAUGUCUUAGUGCACGCCUUUAUACGGUGAAACCGCGAAUGGCUCAUUAAAUCAGCUAUGGUUUAUUGGAUCAUACCCGUUAAAUGGAUAACUGUAAUAACUCUAGAGCUAAUACAUGCCCCGAAGCCCUGACCCGCAAGGGAAUGGGUGCACUUAUUAGAUCAGAAGCCAACCAGGCGUGUUGUGCCUGCCCUCACGGGCGGGUGCGCGCACGCCUGUUGUCGUUCUGGUGACUCUGGAUAAUUGUUACAGAUCGCAGUCGGCCUUGCGUCGGCGACGGAUCCUUCAAAUGUCUGCCCUAUCAACUGUCGAUGGUAGGUGACCUGCCUACCAUGGUGAUGACGGGUAACGGGGAAUCAGGGUUCGAUUCCGGAGAGGGAGCCUGAGAAACGGCUACCACUUCCAAGGGAGGCAGCAGGCGCGCAACUUACCCACUCCCAGCACGGGGAGGUGGUGACGAAAAAUACCGAUGCGGGACUCUUACUGAGGCUCCGUAAUCGGAAUGAGUGAACUCUAAAUCCUUUCACGAGGAUCAAUUGGAGGGCAAGUCUGGUGCCAGCAGCCGCGGUAACUCCAGCUCCAAUAGCGUAUAUUAAAGUUGCUGCAGUUAAAAAGCUCGUAGUUGGAUCUCGGUACCACUGUCGCCUAUCAAUCCUCGGUCGAUUGUGCCUGCCGACUGGAACAGGGGCCUGACUGCGUUAACAGCGUAGCACUCCCUGCCCGUCCAGGUGUGGUUGAACUCGAGUUGGCUUGGUGGUGGUGUCACCUUUCAGCCAUGUCUGUGGUGUAAUAGCCGCAGGUGUAGGGAUGUACCAGACGGUGUCCUGCCUCCUCGGCAGGGCCCGCCGGCUCCUCUGCAUGCCCUUGGAUGCCCUUCAAAAGGUGUCUGCGGGMGGAUGGCACGUUUACUUUGAACAAAUUUGAGUGCUCAAACCAGGCCGAUGCUGCCUGAAAAGUUUUGCAUGGAAUAAUGGAAUAGGACUUCGGCUCUAUUUCGUUGGUUUUCGGAUCCGAAGUAAUGAUCAAUAGAGACAGGCGGGGACGUUUGUAUGGUUGCGCUAGAGGUGAAAUUCAUGGACCGUAACCAGACAAACUAAAGCGAAAGCAUUCGUCAAGCAUGUUUUCAUUGGCCAUGAGCGAAAGUCAGAGGCUCGAAGACGAUCAGAUACCGUCCUAGUUCUGACCAUAAACGAUGCCAACUGACGAUCCGUGGUGGUAGUAUUUCAACCAUCCCCACGGGCAGUCUCCGGGAAACCUUUAAGUCUUUGGGUUCCGGGGGAAGUAUGGUUGCAAAGCUGAAACUUAAAGGAAUUGACGGAAGGGCACCACCAGGAGUGGAGCCUGCGGCUUAAUUUGACUCAACACGGGAAAACUCACCCGGCCCGGACACUGUGAGGAUUGACAGAUUGACAGCUCUUUCUUGAUUUGGUGGUUGGUGGUGCAUGGCCGUUCUUAGUUGGUGGAGCGAUUUGUCUGGUUAAUUCCGAUAACGAACGAGACUCUGACCUGCUAAUUAGUACGCCUGUCCUCUGUGCCUGUGAAAACAGUGUCUAGGCGAAACUGCCCGCACAAAACCGGCUGUCUGACCGGCCUGUCGCUGCUGUUGUUAGUGUUGUGUGUUUCUCGACCUCCUCGUUGUUCUCUCUCGCCGUCAAUGUUGCCUACCCGGUGGCAGAGGCGGUGGGAGCAGCAGCAGCAGCAGGACGAGGGCGCACGAUGCUGCACAGCGGUGCUGGUCGGGCUAGGCGCUGUCGGCGUGGGCGGUUAGCCCAGUGCUUGUUUCUGGGUACGGCGCAGGUGUGUUUACUUCUUAGAGGGACAAGCAUUACGAAUGUGCACGAAAUUGAGCAAUAACAGGUCUGUGAUGCCCUUAGAUGUCCGGGGCCGCACGCGCGCUACAAUGACGGUGCCAACGAGUCUGACCUUCUGGCCCGAAAGGGUUGGGUAAACUGGUCAAUCACCGUCAUGACAGGGAUCGGGGCUUGCAAUUCUUCCCCGUGAACGAGGAAUUCCUAGUAAGUGCAAGUCAUAAGCUUGCGCUGAUUACGUCCCUGCCCUUUGUACACACCGCCCGUCGCUACUACCGAUUGAAUGGUUUAGUAAGGUCCUUGGAUCGGUGCCAUUGUAGCUCCAACCGAAAGGUGGGUGCUCGACAGGCGCCGAGAAGACGACCAAACUUGAUCAUUUAGAGGAAGUAAAAGUCGUAACAAGGUUUCCGUAGGUGAACCAGCGGAAG
rnacentral:rRNA from 1 species